UACAGAGGGGGCAAGCGUUGUUCGGAAUUACUGGGCGUAAAGGGCGCGUAGGCGGUCGAUCAAGUCGCGUGUGAAAGCCCCCGGCUCAACUGGGGAGGGUCACGCGAUACUGAUCGACUCGAAGGCAGGAGAGGGUAGUGGAAUUCCUGGUGUAGCGGUGAAAUGCGCAGAUAUCAGGAGGAACACCGGUGGCGAAGGCGGGUCUCUGGGCCGAUACUGACGCUGAGGAGCGAAAGCGUGGGGGAGCAAACAGG
rnacentral:rRNA from 1 species